rnacentral:lncRNA from 1 species
GAAGAAGUAAGCUAAAAAAAAAUCCCCUUGGAAUCCCUGAGUGAUGAACACAAUCUUUCCCAGAGGUGCUGAGUUUGCUUUCAUUCAGAGAGUUAUUUGGAAGCCUCAUCUUCCAAGUGAGAAGGAAGUAAUCAGAUCCUUAAUAUGUAAAAGUUGAAAAAGAAAAUGCUCCUGACCUAUAGUGGUGGAUGUCUUGAAAGGGAAUCAUCUGAAAACAGCCUUGAUUAGUAAGCCGCUGGGGCCACGCUGCAAGGUGGCAGCAUAUAAGGAUUAGAGUCCAAAUAUGGAGCCCUGUGGCCAAAAUUAGCACCCAGAGAAUGUGGUUUUGCUUUUAUAGAGGUGUAUACUCAUUCAUGCCAAGAUUUAGAUCAAGGAAUUCUAGACUUAGGAAAGGACAGUAUCACUUGUGGGAGAGUGAGUGAACCACUGAGUAGCAACUACAGCUGGUACUGACCUGUCUUCUCUAAGCUCGGACGUGGAGGCUGAACCCACGCAUUGAAGAAAGAGUAGUUCCACAGAUUUACGUGGAAACAAACAACAAUGGAAGAGACAAAGAAGAAGGAAUUUUAGUCGAAAUUUCUUUACUUUAGAAGACUUGGAAGUAUGCUAAUUUGAAUGAAGAAUUCACGACUAUUUAGUACCAACCUGCCAACAAGCGUCUGACUUUGAUUUCAUACGUGAAAAGGCUAGACCUUUUCAAGGCAUGGAUUACUGAGGUUAACACAAGCAUCCACACAAUUGGAAAGUCUUAUAUUUCAAGACUAAGAACUGGAAUUUCAUUGGUUAACCUCAAGCAAAAAAGAGGAUGCCUGGAAAAUUCAACUCCUAUAAUACGGAAAGGAAAAGGUCAGAAGAGGAUAAUUAAGAAAUGGGAAACUGAAGAAACAAAAGGAAAAUAA